CUUUCCUUGAUGACGACUGGCGCACGGGUGAGUAACGCGUAUCCAACCUUCCCAUAACUACGGGAUAACCCGUUGAAAGACGGCCUAAUACCGUAUGAUAUCGUUUGCUGACAUCAAAUAACGAUUAAAGGUUUAGCGGUUAUGGAUGGGGAUGCGUCUGAUUAGCUUGUUGGCGGGGUAACGGCCCACCAAGGCAACGAUCAGUAGGGGUUCUGAGAGGAAGGUCCCCCACAUUGGAACUGAGACACGGUCCAA
rnacentral:rRNA from 1 species